rnacentral:rRNA from 1 species
GACGAACGCUGGCGGCGUGCUUAACACAUGCAAGUCGAACGAUGACGCCCGAGCUUGCUCGGUCUGAUUAGUGGCGAACGGGUGAGUAACACGUGAGCAACCUGCCCUUCACUCUGGGAUAACCUCGGGAAAUCGGGGCUAAUACCGGAUAUGAGCUACUGUCGCAUGGCGGGUGUUGGAAAGUUUUUCGGUGAAGGAUGGGCUCGCGGCCUAUCAGUUUGUUGGUGAGGUAGUGGCUCACCAAGGCGAUGACGGGUAGCCGGCCUGAGAGGGCGACCGGCCACACUGGGACUGAGACACGGCCCAGACUCCUACGGGAGGCAGCAGUGGGGAAUAUUGCACAAUGGGCGAAAGCCUGAUGCAGCGACGCCGCGUGAGGGAUGACGGCCUUCGGGUUGUAAACCUCUUUCAGCAGGGAAGAAGCGAAAGUGACGGUACCUGCAGAAGAAGCGCCGGCUAACUACGUG